ACGACACAGGACGCUAGAGUCCGCCGCAGCGGCUACAACAAAAAAAGAAAGGGACAGUACUACAUAGAUGAUAACAUCCCAGAUAUGGGGUCAGGGCGCGCCCGUCUAGCACUUGAUCUCCUUCAGCCCGUGCGCGAAGUAGAGGAAGGUUGGGUCGGUGGCUCCAUCCUUGUAGUAGGCGAACACCAGGCUUCCAUCAUCAUGCAUGCUCUCGCCAACAAAGCUGCAAAAAACCAGACAAACAUUUAGUACGAGCUAUUCACGGAAUUUAGUUGUGAAGCAAAAUGACAGAAAGCAGCAGUACAAAAAUCAGUAAUAGAACAAUAAUGCAGACAGCACAACCUAUCAUUCUAGCUCGAGCAACACGAAUUUAAACACAAUGGCGAAUAAGAACAUAGAAAGCAAACAUCAAAAAUGGAUGCCACACUGCAAAAGAAUAUAGGUACUUACAACUAAUAUAACAUAUUUUUAAUUAACCCAGAGCAGUACAAAAAUUAUUUUUGCACAAGAGUGUAUGAAAAUAUAUUAUAAUUCAAGCUCCAUGCAGAAUCAUAGGUGAGAAUUCAACGAUAGCACAAGCAACUUGAAUCCAAGUAAUAACAAAAGAAAAUUGCACAAGCAACGUGAAUCUAAGUAACAAAAGAAAACUAUGUGAUUAAAUCCACCGAGGUACAGUUUUCAUGAACAGCUACCAGAAUGGUACUUCAGAGAGAAUCACUAGACACUAGAUAUCAAAUAUAUAGCAUGAUUCGGG
rnacentral:lncRNA from 1 species